rnacentral:tRNA from 1 species
CGGAGUCGCUGGUGGACGGCGGCGGGGUCCCGGGGUCGGUGGUCCCGGAGUCGGUCCCGGUCGGCUCCGGGUCCGGGUCGGUCCCGGUCGGGUCCGG